GCCAUUCGGCCCCGGAGUAGCUCCGCGCUCCCAGAAUGCACCGCUAGUCCGCGGGAAACCAAAAUGGCGAAGGGCUGUUGCGAAGUGGUCUGUGUUUGAGGCCGGUGUGAGCACGCACAUUCUCCUUCCUAACCCUCGUCCCCAAGGAACUCGGUGUGUGUGUGCGUGUGCGCAGGGCUCCCGCUGGGGCGGGUGCCCAGGGAGUGCCCGGACUCGCGGGGGAGCGCCCACGGGAACGAGAUUGCUUCUAUUUUCCUGUAUGAAGCGGUUGGCACCACUUAAGUGACCGAAUGAGAAAGGUUUAACUGAGGAGGGAAGACCCACCCUGACUAUGUGAGGCCACCAUACCCAUGGGCUGGGGUCCUGGAUUGAAUCAAAUGGAGGAAGCAAGCUGAGCAUGAACAUUGACCUUCCUGACUGCAGAUAUCAGUGCGAUAGCUGUCUCCUGCUUCUUCUACUAUGCCUCCCCCUUCCAUGAUGGACUGUACUCUGAAACUGUGAGCCAAAAUAUACACUUUUUUUAUGUUGUUUUUGUCAGAGUUUUUUACACAGCAAUGAGAAAAAUACUGAAUGCAUAUAUUAAUAAAAUUUCAAGACAUGAAGAACAAAGGACUGUGGCUCAGUAGAGUAAGAUUUUUCAUCCUAGUGCUGAGUAUAGUAAGUGAACAGCACCAGACUUUCUUUACAGAGGGAAAUUCUUUACAAUGUAAAGUUCUGUGUGUAGGAACUGAAUGAGUCAGUUGUUAUUUAUUGCUUGGCCUCACCUGGCACUCCUGUGUUGAAACUUUGUUCCUUUCCUAGCUAGGACUACAGGUUCCUGCUACUCUACCAGUGAGUUGCAAUGAGGACUGAGAUAUUUGUAGGUCUAGAAGAAGACCUUAGAGAAGCUUUGUGCACAUAUCCUUUUACUGUAUGCCACGUCUCUAGCCAAAGAGUAUGUGAUCCAGAAAGCUUUGGCGUGGUGUGAACAAGGCCCAGCAAUCCCAGAUUGAUGCAGAAACAUUGUGAGCUCUAAAAGCAAUGGUUAUUCGUGGAAAGGGAAAGAAAUUUAAAUUAUCUUUGACAACUUAAAAAUGAAGUGUUAAUAGGAUAUAUUAAGGAUUCUGGGCAAACAGUUUGUCCUAUUCUGGUUUGUUUCUAUCUUUUUUUUUUCUUUGAUGUGAUGCCUGUAAUCUCAUGAGAAAGAUAAAGAGUAUGGGUUUUGGUAGUGGGGAGGAUCUAGGAGCAGUUGGGGGUAGGGGAAGUCAUAAUCGGAAUAUACUGUAUGGAAAAAAUCUACAAUGAAAAAAAGUGUGACUAGAAAUAGAGUAAGUACACUUUGUUUGGUUUUAAGAAAGAGUCUCAUGUAGCCUAGCCUGGUCAUGAACUCCUGAUUCUAGAGCUAGGAUCGCAGGUUGUAUGCCAGUUAAUACUACUACUAUUAAGUAGUAUUUCAGUGGUUAAUUUUUUUUUCCUCCCCUUCUCUCUUCUUGCUUAUGGUUUUAUGGAAUGGUCUCCCAUCUCUUGCAAAGGGAAGUUUCUUGAUGAGGAGUGAGAACUACACUUAACUGGGCAUAAGUAAAAAUAUUUAGGAUAUAGUUAGGGGUUGAUUAUGCUGGUUUAGUAAAUGAUAGUUGUAGGUUCUCCACUAAGAUCCCUGACUUCACUAGUCCUAGGUAGUUGACUAGAUUUCCAUUAUUAACACAAGUUUUUUCUCUCUGAGUAGGGUCUUAAGUCCAGUUAGAGUUACUGGUUACCACCAAGGUAUGCAUUCCACUGCUGCACCAUAAAGGUUAUUGUGCCAGCUGUUAUAGCUGGGUAGGAAGGGCUGUUGCUUCCUUCAUUUGGCAGCUUGCAUGGCACCUUCUGGAAACAUGAAGCUAGUCAGUUCUAGUUUAGGUGUCUCUGGUCCCACUGUCUGAAGUUCAUGGUAUCAUCAGCAUUAGGAACUUAUCUUCUACCACUUGGGAUUGGGUAACCAAAGGCAAUAGCAAUAGUCUGCAAUGUUUUAGGAGUCUCUUGGACAGUCCUGACCAACAACUGAAAGGUGGUAUUCUCAUGUUUAGUAAUGGAGAUUUUGUUAAAUAGUUAGAGGGGAAAUCAGAGGAAUUUCAGAGAGUUGUUUCUGUUAUGGGCCUCAGGGAUAGAACUUACAGCUUAUCAGGCUUCACGACAAGCAUUUUAUCUGCUGAGCUAUUUUGCUAGCUCUUGGUUGUUUACAUGUACUUGUUUUUAUUUUAUGUGUAUGAAUGUUAGGCUUACAUGUAUGUUCACCAUGUGCUUGCUUGGUUUCCAUGGAGGCCAGAACAGGAUGUUGAGUCCCCUGGAACUCUGUGAGUUGUUAGCUACUGUGUGGGUGCUGGGACACAAAACUGCAAGAGCAGUAAGUACUCCGAGUUGCUAAGCCAUCUCUAGAUUCUCUAUGGAGUUUUAAUGAAGUAAAGUAACUCAGUGAGGUAGGGAAUGGGAGUUGGAAUAUGUGGACUACCUUUUAUGACAAGAAAGUAGGUCUAGGGGCUGGCUCAGUGGUUAAGAACACUUGUUGCUCCUGCACAAGACCUAGGUUUAGUUCCCAGCACCCACAUGGUGGUGGUUCAUAACACCAGGGGGUCAAAUGCCUUCUUCUGACCUCAAAAGGCACCACCAAGUUGCAUGUGGUACAUAAGUAUACAUGCAAGCAAAACAAAGUAAAAUGUAUAAAUCUAAAAAUAAAUAAAAGAAUGUAGGUCUGAAAUUGAUUAAAGGCAAGUAUAUAAACACAAUCGUUUGGAAAUAAAUACUGGGAUAGGUUGGUGAAUCUCUCUCUCUCUCUCAAUAUGUGUGUGUAUGUGUAUGAAUAUGAAUGAUGCUGGAGAGAAGGCUCAGGAUUUAGGAGCACUGGCUGCUUUUCCAUAGGACCUUGGUCCUAUUCCCAGUUCCUACUUGGUGGCUCACAAUUAUCUGCAAUUCCAAGGGAAUCUAGUACCUUCUGGUCUCCCUGGGCACUACAUGCAAGUCAUAUACAUAUACAUAUACAUGCAGGCAAAACACUGAAACUUUUUUUUUUUUUUUUUAAAGGAGACAGGGUUUCUGUGUGUAGGCCUGGCUGUCCUGGAACUCACUCUGUAGACCAGGCUGGCCUCGUACUCAGAAAUCCUCCUGCCUCUGCCUCCCAAGUGCUGGGAUUAAAGGUGUGCACCACUGCCCGGCUUGAAACAUAAAAUUUAAAAAUACUUUAAUUUUGAUUAUGUGCCUGUGUGUAUAUGAAUGUAAAUGCAGUGCCCAAAAGAGGUCUGAAGGUGUCAGAUCUUCUACAGGUUGUUGUGAGUCAAAGCAAUGUAUGCUUCUAACUGAUAAACCAUCUCUCUAGCCUCCUUUGCCUAUCUUUUCCUUUAUUUUUUAUUUUAUUUUACUUUGUUUUUAUUUUUUGAGGCAGGGUCUUUAGAUGAGGUUACCUUUAAACACAGAUCCUCCUGUGUCCUUCUUGAGUACUGGGAUUAAAGGCAUACACCACUGUGCCUGGCCAUUUCUUACUAUUUAAUUAAAGAAAUUUAAUGUAUGAUAAUUUUUUUAAUUUCUAAAGCUAAGAAAUAGAGUAGAAGUAACUUUUCUAAAAUUAUUUUUUAAAAUGUGUUUUGCCUGUGUAAACAUCCUUGUUUGUGUGCCUGGUGCCUAUGAAAGCCAAAAAGGGAUGGGUGUCAGAGCCCCCUGAGACUAUUUGCAAAUAGCAAUGACCUGUUUUGUAGGUAUUGAGAAUCUAGCUCAGCUCUACUGGAAGGAAUAGCAGCUAUUGCUCUUAACAACCACUGAACCAUCUCUCCGGUCCUAGAGGUAGCCUUGAAUCUGCCUGUGUUAUGCCUUCUGGUCUCUGUAGAACUUUGGUUUCUUUGAUGUUAGAUGUUGGUAUAUUCGUCAAUUAAAAAGAAGACAUCCAGGCUCAGAUUUUAUUUUAUCUAUCUCAAGAGGUAAGAGAAUUACUUUCUCAUAGGUUUGGUGCAGGAUUGCAUCUGAGUCCUGUUGUGACCUUGUGGAUUUGACUAUAUCUGAGUCCACCAAAAGAUGCCACCAGAGUGGUUCCCUCAUUUGUUGUUAGGUAAUAUCCUUCCCAUCACAGGAAGUAGAAGAAAUUCUGGGAGAAAGAAUAUAGCCACCAUGGCAGUUUUGUGCUGUUUAGAAGACCUCUGAAUGGUGGCUCAUGCCUAUAAUCCUAGCCCUUUUAAAGCCAACUUGAGCUACAGUGUGGAAUCCUGUUUCAAAACAUUAAAACCAAAACAAAAAAAAUCCAAGAAGAUGAGACUUGUUGGUGGGGUUGGUGUCAGGAUAGAUGAGGUGGGUUUUGUCUUGUUUGCUUUGUUUUGUCCCUUAGCUCUGAUUCCUUCCUACCCCCACUAUUGCAAGAUCCUUUUGCCUUAUAGAUUGGUGAAUCAAGGGCAAGGUGGCGGUGUGAAGUAGGAUUAGAUUUUCCUUCCUUUUUUCCCUUAGCUGCCGAGUGUUUCAUCAUGGACUAGAGUAGUGGCAAGGGUACUGGAAACGUGAUUGUGGUGGAGGUGUCAUGGCUGAUUGCUGUUACCAGAGAAGAGGAGGGAAAUUGGAGCGGCACAAUAGAGGGAUGAAAGUUCCUACUAGGGAGAGACUCUACAGGAGCAGGUAAUUCACUGGUCCACAAGCGGUCUCCUUUACGUCGAAACCAAAAGACCUCAGCAUCCUUGAACAAGCUGUCUUUACAGGAUGGACAUAAAGCCAAAAAACCAGCAUGUAAAUUUGAAGAGGGUCAAGAUGUCUUAGCUAGAUGGUCAGAUGGCUUGUUUUAUCUUGGAACUAUCAAAAAGAUAAACAUAUUGAAACAGAGCUGCUUCAUCAUAUUUGAGGACAGUUCCAAAUCCUGGGUUCUCUGGAAGGACAUCCAAACAGGCAGGAGCCACUGGGAGUGGGGAAAUGGUCUGUACAAUAUGUCAAGAAGAGUAUUCAGAAGCUCCCAAUGAAAUGGUUAUAUGUGAUAAGUGUGGUCAAGGAUAUCAUCAGCUGUGUCACACACCUCAUAUUGACUCGAGUGUGAUUGAUUCAGAUGAAAAGUGGCUUUGUCGACAGUGCGUUUUUGCAACAACUACAAAGAGGGGUGGUGCGCUUAAGAAAGGACCAAAUGCCAAAGCAUUGCAAGUCAUGAAGCAGACAUUACCCUAUAGUGUGGCUGACCUUGAAUGGGAUGCAGGCCAUAAAACCAAUGUCCAGCAGUGCUACUGCUAUUGUGGAGGCCCUGGAGACUGGUAUUUAAAGAUGCUGCAGUGCUGCAAAUGUAAGCAGUGGUUUCAUGAAGCUUGUGUCCAAUGCCUUCAGAAGCCAAUGCUGUUUGGAGAUAGGUUUUAUACAUUUAUUUGCUCUGUCUGCAGUUCUGGACCAGAAUACCUCAAACGUCUACCGUUACAGUGGGUAGAUAUAGCACACCUAUGCCUUUACAACCUAAGUGUUAUUCACAAGAAGAAAUACUUUGAUUCUGAACUUGAGCUUAUGACAUACAUUAAUGAAAACUGGGAUAGAUUGCACCCUGGAGAGCUGGCAGACACACCCAAAUCUGAAAGAUAUGAGCAUGUUCUGGAGGCAUUAAAUGAUUACAAGACCAUGUUUAUGUCUGGGAAAGAAAUAAAGAAGAAGAAGCAUUUGUUUGGGUUGCGAAUUCGUGUUCCUCCUGUGCCACCAAAUGUGGCUUUCAAAGCAGAGAAAGAACCAGAAGGAACAUCCCAUGAAUUUAAAAUUAAAGGCAGAAAGGCAUCCAAACCUACAUCUGACUCAAGGGAAGUAAGCAAUGGGAUAGAAAAAAAAGGAAAGAAAAAAUCUGUAGGUCGUCCUCCUGGCCCAUAUACAAGAAAAAUGAUUCAAAAAACUGCUGAGCUACCUUUGGAUAAGGAAUCAGUUUCAGAGAAUCCUACGUUGGAUUUACCUUGUUCUAUAGGUUGUUAUACCAUUUAAAUUCUUUUGUCUCAGGAGAACUGAGGGAAUUGCACAUUCAUCCAAUACCUCAGAUGUGGACCUCACGGGUGCUUCCAGUGCAAACGAAACUACCUCGGCUAGCAUUUCCAGGCAUUGUGGAUUAUCAGACUCUAGAAAAAGAACUCGCACAGGAAGAUCAUGGCCUGCUGCAAUACCACAUUUGCGGAGAAGAAGAGGUCGCCUUCCACGAAGAGCACUCCAGACUCAGAACUCAGAAGUUGUGAAAGAUGAUGAAGGCAAAGAAGAUUAUCAGUUUGAAGAACUUAACACAGAAAUUCUGAAUAACUUAGCAGAUCAGGAGUUGCAGCUCAAUCACCUGAAAAACUCCAUCACUAGUUAUUUUGGUGCCGCAGGUAGAAUAGCAUGUGGCGAAAAAUACAGAGUUUUGGCUCGUCGGGUGACGCUUGAUGGGAAGGUGCAGUAUCUUGUGGAAUGGGAAGGAGCGACUGCAUCCUGACUGUAGGACUGAACGUAAUGUUCACUGCACUCGUUUUCUGUUGGUACAGUUAAAAAAAAAAAAAACAAAAAACAGAGUGUGGGUUUUAUUAUCUUUCUUAGAAAAACAAACAAAGAGAAAACACAAAAAUAUUCACAAAAGGAGAUGAUACUGGCCUUAAAACAUGUUCUUGUCAAUGUUAUGGAUAUUGUCAUAAAAAAAGAUAUCUUUUAAAAAUCAGAGGAGAGACUUAAUUUUUUUAAAUCUUAAGAUUUGUAGACUGUUUCUAGGAUAGGCUAUUAAACAUGAUUCAUACCCAUGCAUGGUGUUAGAUACUUUUUAUAAUUAUUCCAUUGAGUCAAUUUUUGUGAUUAGUGGUUAUCAGAGCAAACAGAUCAUGUAGAUAGCACAAGUAUUUGGAGAAACAUUGUGUGUUUUGUUAACAAAAUGUUGGAAAGAUUUAUUUCAAUACCCUUUAGAUUUCAUAAAGUGCAGUGUAUAUAAUGUCUACUGAAAGACUGUAAAAUAUUGAAAUUUCUUUCAAGCAAAAUGUAAAAAAAUAUAUUGAGCCUGUAAAUUGCUCUGUGACUAGACUUCAUUGUCGUCUUAAUAUAUUCUUUGCAUGUACAUGUAUAUACACACAUGUGUAUAUAUAUGUGUGUGAUUAUGUGACCUAUGCAAUACAAAUUAUGGGAAUGGGCAGCUUUGGAGUAUAUAUCCCAUAAUUCUUAUUUCAGGAAUAGUUGCAGUAUUUACACAGCAGCAUUUCUUCUCAGGCGUUUAUUGGGUGCUGUUGCUUGCUAUGUAUGAAGAGAAAUGUGUCAAGUUUAGUGUGUACUGAAGAAGGGUGUGAACAACAGUGUACAUGGGCUUUUAGAGGGCUUUUCAGUCCUUGUAACUCAGCUGUUGAAUACCUAAAACAAAUUCGAGUGAUAACUACAUUAUUUCCUAUUAGAAGUGACGUUUUCAAGUGAUUGUGGCACAUUAUGAUUGUAAAUGUCUCAGUUUUAACAGCAAGUCUGUGGGAGCCCAGUGAAGACUCCUGAAAUGUCUGUAGUAACUGUUAGUCAUGUUUGAGUAAGCGUAGUAUGAACAAAGUCUUUUAUUGCACAGGGUUAACAAACAGUAUGUUGCUAGCUGAGGCUAACUGCUGUUUUAUUACAACAUUACCUCUUGUUUUUAUAAAAUGUACCAAGAUUUUAAAUUGAUAUCUUUAUUUUACGUGUUAAAAAAAAGUUUCUUUUAUCACCAGUGUUAGAGUUGUCUUCUGUUUUUUUGGUUUGUUUUGGUUUGGUUUUUUUCUUGUUGUUUUCUUUCUUAGCCAAAGAGUAAACAGAAGAAUAUUAUUUUGGUAGCUCUUCAUUUUACUUUUAUAAUGAUUGGUGGAUUUUAGACUAAAAAUUGGGGAAAUUUCUGCCAAAAUGAAAAAAUAUGUGACGUGUAUUGAUGACAGAAUGCUAAAAUUGUGGUUAGUGCUUAUUUAUUCCAUUAAUUGAUUAUUUGCCUGUUUUUAAAGAAACAUGCUUUAUUUCCUUAAGCAUCUUCAAAAGAUGACUUUUCUUGUCACAUUGUAGCCAAAAGAAGCAGAGAAUUUCUUGUCCUGCUUUUGGUUCCUGGUUAACCAGGUAUAAUGAGCUUUACAAAGUGCAAAUUACAAACUGUCACUUCUGUUCACCUCCACCAAAACUUGAUUUCCCCUAGCUAUUAAUUUAAAGUUGCCUUUCCUGCAGCUGCAAUAUUUUGAAUAACACAGAGAUUGUGUUAAUUUUUGAAUGUUUGUUUAUAUCUAGGGGUAAUGGAAAAUGUAAUUCCCGUGUAACCUUAUUCACUCCAGCUGUAUCAUAUUUCAUUUUUCCCAAAGUUCUUUAAUUUUAACUGAACACCAGCAGUAUUUUUAGUAAUUCUUUAAGAUACUUGGAAGACAAUUUAUCAAGCUGAACUGUCUCUAGACUUAAUUAUUGUGAAUGUCUGUUUUCUUUUAUCAUGGUGGUUCACAUGGCUCUGAUGUUCAGUUUGUAUUUUUGAAAUUGCUUUACUUAGAAUUAAAACAGACCAACAUUAAAUGUGUGUAUUUUUAAAAGA